UGCCUCUCCACGCAGGACGUGGAGGGAUACUCACUCUCUCAUCAGUAGCUCCCCACAAUCAAAAACAGGACGAGGUGCAUCACCUGUCACUGAGCUAACAAGCUAAAGUUAGCCACAGAAAUGUUUGUUCAGCCUGUGAAUUACUUCAUUCCGAUUUGACUUAUUUUACAAAGUCAGCAUGGCAUUAACAUAGUUUCUUUCGGUUUUUGAUCUUGACAUUGUUGCUGGAUAGAUACUUUGAUAGCUAAAAUGCUGGCACUGCUAGUUAGGUAAUGCUAACGACGCUAACCUCACUCUAGUUCCCGAGAGAGAGCAGCGUAUUGGUAAGGGAAUCUGUUUCAAAAACUUUGUUAAUAACAAGGUUUCCAACAAACAACGCAUACAAGGAAGGAAGCGGCGCAGGUCCUAAUCCAGGCACUUGUCAUCUCCCGUCUGGAUUACUGCAACUCGCUGUUGGCUGGGCUCCCAGAAGUUUUCUAGGCCCUCCAUUCCCAACCCUGAAGCCCCCUGUCCCCAGCAGGAAAGACCAGGAAAAAGUUUUGGCUUCAGAAGCAAGCUGUCGUCUCGUUUGCUUCCACCUUGUCCUGUCCUGUCGGAGUCUGCAUGGCAGGUGCAACCUGCAUUAUACUACGUUCUUUUGUUCCAUUGACUACGUUGGAAGAGGAUUUAUGCCAUUCCUGUUUUUA